CUAAUAAACCCUUUCCUCCCCAACUUGCUUUGGUCAUGGUGUUUCAUCUCAGCAAUAGAAACCCUAAGACAAGUUGGUAGCAGGACAGUGGGGUGUUGCUGUGGCACACCUGACCAUGUUGCUCCCAUGGGGCUUGUGGAAGUACUCUGAAACUUUUGAUAAGAAACGCCAUUGAGUGUUGAGAUCUCAGUGAGCUGUCCUGUAUGAGCUGAAAAGAUGCUGAGAGAAGCCAGGCAAUAGUUUCAGAAGAAGGAAAAACUCUACCAGGACUUUUGAAUUAAGACUCUGAGGUUCUGGUCAGCUGAGACUGAAGAAUCAGCCGUGAUUAACAAGAGACCAGAAAGCACCGCUCACGUAAAACCCAUGCUUCCCUGAGGUAAUGGACCCUGGUCAGUUGGAGCUAGAAGUUGGUGGUGAUUAAGAAGAGACCAGCAUCAUUGGGGUGAAAUCUUCUGGGAAGCGUUCUUCAGAGUCCACAUGUAGAAACUGUGUUCCAGAGGUGGCAAGGUUGUGCCUUACACUGGCAGCCAAACUUGGUAAUGUGUUAGAGUCACCCAGGUGGUACUGGUUUUGAAUGCGUGGAUGGUUCCUGAAAAGCAGCUGAGGCUUGGCACUCUGGAGAGGCCAGGAGAGACAUUGGAGAAGGUGCAGCCUCCAUAGCACUUGAAGCCACAGGAUUGAAGGGGUCAUGGAGAGAAGCUGAGGCUUGGCACCACAAGCCCAGGAGAGGCUAUUAGUGAAAGUACAGCCCAGUUGUAGCAGGAGACCCCAGCAUUUUGGAGAUGCCAGUACCUUGGGGUGACCACCAAGAACAGCAGCAGUUGUGGAGUGGAGCCAACCGGGACCACCAAGAACAGCAUUGGAGUGGAGCCAGCCCGGCCCACCAAGAACAGCAUUGGAGGCAUGGAGCCAGCCGGAGCCUAGAGGACAAGCUGUGUGAGCUGCAGAGGCCAGAGCUGGAGAAGAGACCCAGCCCCUUGGAGGAGCCCAGAAGACUGACAACUCCUUUAAAACAAGAACAAGAGGUUCACAGCUCACGUGUGCCCGAGAAGUGGCAGCGGGGACAACGUAGAACUGGUUCUGUCCAGACGCCUUGCCUCCGCCAAUCUCUACAAGUCACUCCAGUUUGUUCCUGAUGAGAGAAUCCACUGGCUUCCCUUCUUCCAACACCCCAGACAGCAUCAACCUCACGCCCUGUGGGGCAGAACCAUCUGCCUCGCCUUUCCCAGGCCAGGGCCCAUCCAGUGUGGAACGCUUACCCGAUUGUUUCUUACCUGCUUUCUAUUUCUGCCCUAGUAACUUGUUAAAGAUUUUAAAGUGACCUCAAGUCAUCAGUCCUCCUCUGUGCUCCACACGUGCUUUUCCUUGCUCAGUUUCCUACGUCAAAACCAAGAAGUGAAUGUAUUUUGUUAAACCAAGUGUCUAUAUAACAGGAGGCAUCUUUACUGGGACACUCAGUAGAAAGAUUGCACUGAGAAUUGGGGGGGGAGUGGAACUGAGGUCUGGGCUUACAGCAGCCAGAGGACAUCUGAGCCAUGGUCACACCCUACAAGCCAGAGAAGCCUCCUCUCACCAGGGUGGGGGUGGGAUCAAUCAAGUAACUGGGAACGACAUUGCUUCUCCAAAAUCCCACAGGUGCACAGGCAGCAGCUGCAGAUGACGCCAAGGAACCUGCAAGCCACUUGACCUCCACCCAUGGUCCCAACUUAGAACUUAGGAAAUGGUGGACAGAAAUGCCAGAACUCCAUUUGGCUUGCAGCGAGUGUACCUGUGGAGGGAUUAGUGAAAAUCCACCUAUGUUUUUGGAACUGGUGUUUCUUCUUAAAGAGCAGGAAAUUAAUAAAGUAAAUAUUCUUCCUAA